GAUCCUGGCUCAGGAUGAACGCUGGCAGCGUGCUUAACACAUGCAAGUCGAGCGAAGCACUUAGGAAAGAUUCUUCGGAUGAUUUCCUAUUUGACUGAGCGGCGGACGGGUGAGUAACGCGUGGGUAACCUGCCUCAUACAGGGGGAUAACAGUUAGAAAUGACUGCUAAUACCGCAUAAGACCACAGCACCGCAUGGUGUAGGGGUAAAAACUCCGGUGGUAUGAGAUGGACCCGCGU
rnacentral:rRNA from 1 species